UCCGGCAGUUCUGUUGAGAGUUCCUGGUAGCCCCCGCAGAGUUCUAUCGAAAAUCCUAAUGACAAAAGUCUGUGUGAUUAAUACUUUUAUAGUUAUGCCUAUUUCUGGGGUACUGUUUCUUGAUUCUUCAACUUCGUUUUUUUUACUUUCUCGUGCAAAACUAUUGUUAAAAUGUAUCAAGAACUCUAGAACUAUGCGAAAUCUAUCCAGAACUCCAUUAAAAAAUUAGUUUUUACGAAAAUGGGGGCUGCGUGAAGUUAGUCCCCCAUU